AUUUCCGCCCCCUCUCUCUUCCCUAAAACGCCGCCCGCCGCGACCUCCCCAGAUCCAAUCCACGCCGCCGCCUCCUCUCCAAUCAACGCCGCCCUGCUCCUCUCGACCCGCUGCCUCUCCUCCCUCCGGCGCGGCGGCUCGUGCAGUUAAGCAUCGGUGACAUCUUCGUCGUUCCCGGGGAUUUGACGCCACGCUGCUCCACCACCUCAUCACCAAGCCUGGGAUGUGCCUCGUCAGCAGCUGCAACGAGCUACACGCGCGCCAGCGGCAUCGGCGCAUGCGCUGCCAAGCUCACCGUCGUGGCCUCAACACCAUCGCUGGCGCCUACAACGAAUCUGCCCGUCAUCUGCAUCGCAUGUGGCCCCAACUACAAUGACUAGGGCACCAACCACAUCCUCCACCACACCUUCGCUGGCGCAGGUCGUUGGAGAAACUCCUCGUCAGUGGGUGGAGGAAAACGAGCUCUUUGACCUCUAACAGGAUACGGCGACUGGGGUUAAACAGGAUCGCACACCCACCAUGCAGGGUUUAAUUUUUCGUAGUCUAUUCUAGCCAGCAAAAGAUGCAGCGUUCUCUUCUCUUCAAAGAAAUGGUUGGUACAUCAUGCUCUGCUCGCUGUUCCAUGUCCAUGCAUGAUGCUUGUGACUCGUAUGUUUGUUUUGAGAUGAAAAUCAUGCUUUGCUUUUCUAAAGUUCAGAGAAAAGCCUUAUAUAGUUAAAAAGUCCAUAAUGUUAAUUUCCCUCCAUAAUUGACGGAAACCUGCUGCAGUCUAUGUAUUAUGAAAACAUCUGAAGUAGAUGAGGUAUUUUUUCUCAGUAGGCAUAUUUAGCUCAGUGUCUUACACACUCCCUGUUGUCCAUGCUGAAUUCAAAGUUCAGUACUUGCGUCCACCUCACUGGCUCAGUUACCUGUUUACACAAUCUCUAGUGUGUUGCCGAAUAAAUACUUGGUAUGUCCAUAAUAGGUGAAGGAUGUUCUCAACCAUGUAGCUAUUCUUUGCAUCCGUGUCUGCUUCCUGACAACUAUUAUUUACUUGUCACAGAUCUGCAUUCUGCAUAUGUGUUUCUUUAUUUUUUGUUACCUAUUUCUGUUACGUCCCCAUGCUAUACAAAACUAACAAGUAGUUCCUCCUUAUGAGGAGCUCUGUGGUUCAGGAAAAACUCCUUCUGAUGAAGUGUUAUUGCUGUUCAUCCUUAUCCAGGUGAUUCUCUUUUAACUUCUUAUUUUUGAGUUAUUCCUCAGGCCAAAUGGCAGUAUAUCUUUGUGUCUUCCAGCAUUUCAUUGCAUAGCAUAGAUGAAUGUCUUGUCUCUUUCUUGCUUAACAUUGACAGUUGCUAGUUGCUUCGUUCCAAAGUUUAUUUUUGUUGAUAUAUUGUAAAUAUCUGCUGGAACUGGUGUUUUCAAGAAAAGGAUCCACAUGUUUUGGAACUUGUUAAUUCCGUGUACCUUUUUUAUGUACUCAGUACGAAAAAUGGCAGCAAAACUGCAAAGUAUCUGUUUGUUGUGAAGUCCUUUAUUUACUGGAAUGUGUAUUGCUGUAUUUACAGUGAAAGAAUGUUAAUUUCACUAGCUAACCUGGAGGGAGAAGUGGCGCUCAAGGUCACAGAUUACUUAGGAGACUGCAGGCUGUGCUUAUUGACGUUGAAGUUGGAGUAAUGCUGGGUGACGAUUCCUUCAAGCUUUUUGCAUGGUUCAACCAGCACUGUUACGGGAGUUCUAAGUCGAAGAAAUUUGGAGCCCGAAGCUUCACUAAGCACAUUCGCUGCCACUUGUAAUUAGUCCAGUUAUAUUGUAGUAAGCGUAUCUGGUUCUAUGAGCACUAUGUAAAGACCUAAUAAGCUAAUUUUGCUUAUUAUUUCAAGAAUUUCGUGUUCUAAUUUUCACUACAAUUUUAAGAAUUUUGUAUGCUCU